rnacentral:lncRNA from 1 species
UACACCUAAUUAUAAUUAAAAUAAAAAUUUUAAGACUCCUUAUAAUUUACACAAAAUAAAAUUAUAAAUAAAAAAAAUAAAAAUGUUUAUGAACACAUAUUACCACUAUUAUUAAUCAUUUUCACCAACUAAACUAACGACACCCACUUACUUUUUUUAUUCAAAGAAAGGGGACACGUAUUGCAACUUUUUCACAGAGAAUGACAGACACGUUUUGCUCUCUGAUUGGUCAAAACCCCACAGCCAAUCAAAAACAGGAACGGAUGGAUGCCUUGGUCUUUUCAGUGGGACCCACAUGAUAAAAAGUCCGACCAAUCACGUCUCGUCUCCGUCCCGAUUGUUGCCCUCGACACGCGUUGGCUUCUUAUUCCACCACGAAGCUCUCUGCUAUGAUUAUCGCUUUCACACGGCUCCGAAAAAAAAAAGAGCCAGAAAGAGAGGGAGAGAGAGAGAGAGAGAGAGAGAGUCAGUAGAGAUGGAGAGUGCAGAAGAGAGUUAGGGUUUUUAUAUAAAAAUACAGAGAGUGAAUCCAGCAGAAAAAAAAACAAACCAAGAACGAUAAAAGUCGAAGCUUUUUCUUUUUCUUCUGAAAAAAAAGCAAGAGAAAAAGGGAGAUAAUCUCGGUGUUGAAAUACAGAGAGAGGAGGGAGAGGAAGAAGACGAAGUGGGUUUCAUUUAUGGACGCUGGAGACAUGUGGAGCAUGCUAAGAUGCGCGGGGGGUGCGCAGGAUAAAACGAUAAUCAAUCGCUUGAUGCUCACAUUCCGGCCGAUUGCCCCGAACCCUCCCGUCGGCGAGCCGUUUCCGGGUAACCCAGGAUCUGACAACAAGAGCCUGCUGCUUGUCAACAAGAGAUCUAAGAGAAAGUACGUUAGGGUUUGCAAGAAUAAUACCAGGAAAAAAGAUGAUAAUAAUAAUAAGAAUAAUUAUAAUAACAAAAAUAGCUCGUCAGAUCAAGAGAGAUCAGAACAAGGUGUGGUCACACUGCAGUUGCUGCCGGAGAGCGGUGAUGAAUGCAAGGAGCCGAGACACAAUCCACCGUCAUCGUCCGAUCUUGAUCCUACGGCGGAGGUAAUGCAAGAAUAUCAUGUCGUUGAUGAAGAAAAUCAAAACCCACCCACGUGGCUGGAAAUCGGGCCGUCAGCAACAGAUCCGACGGGGCCGGUUGAGUCAUGGGUAACGGUGGAGUGCGUGACCGACGCAUGCAUGAGCGGAGCCGAACUGAACGGGAGUAGUUCGGGCACGUUCGACGUAGAGAGAAUAAUGGAGCAUCUAGAGAGAGACACGUGUCCCGGGUUCAUAUCCGACGGGUCGAACCGGGUCAGUUGGGUAAACGGUGCGUAUCGGAGAAUGAUUGGUGUAACGGGACCGGACGGAGAAGUAGCGGUGCGGUUGGUGGUGAAAGAGAAGCUGCCGUGGCAAUACGCACCGUUUUCAUGUCAAGCGCGGGUGCAGUACAACAAGUGUCAGAAGAUGGUGCCCUGUGAUGUUUGGAGAAUGGAUUUUAAUGGAGGUCUUGCAUGGAGGCUUGACAUUAAAGCUGCGCUCAGUUUGGGUCUGUAAACUCAUUGAGGAAGACGGAGAUAAUUAUUCAAGAAACAAAGGUAUAUUUAUACUUAUUAUAUAUAUAUUUGUUUCUUUAAGACAAAUCUUAUGGGGAAUUAAUGAGGGUGUAGGGUACUUAUAGUAACUAAAAGAUGGAGAAGAAGAAGAUGAUG